rnacentral:rRNA from 1 species
AGAUUGAACGCUGGCGGAAUGCUUUACACAUGCAAGUCGAGCGGCAGCGCGGGGGCAACCCUGGCGGCGAGCGGCGAACGGGUGAGUAAUACAUCGGAACAUGUCCAGUCGUGGGGGAUAGCCCGGCGAAAGCCGGAUUAAUACCGCAUGAGCUCGAGAGAGGAAAGCGGGGGACCUGCAAGGGCCUCGCGCGACUGGGUUGCCGAUGUCCGAUUAGCUUGGUUGGCGGGGUAAUGGCCCACCAAGGCGAUGAUCGGUAGCUGGUCUGGAGAGGAUGAUCAGCCACACUGGGACUGAGACCACGGCCCAGACCUCCUACGGGAGCGAGCGAGUGGGAAUUUUGGACAGUGGGGACAACCGUGAUCCGAGCCAGUUCCGCGUGAGUGAAGAAGGUCCGUUAGGUGUAAG